UUUCCGCCCAAAACACCAAAGUUCAUUGUCAAAACCCAUUUUCCCCCAAAUUUCGACCAAGUCAAACCUAGGGCAAGAAAAAAACUUCCGCCAAAAACCCAAAUCUCCUCCGCUAAAUCGCCCAAAUCUCUUCCAUCACUUGUUUCUUCAGUCCCCGGUAGCAAUAUGACUGGAAGAGAGAUUGACCGGGCUCUACUAGAAGCAGUUAUUAAUGACCCCAAUAUUUCUGUUUUUGAACACCACUUUGCGAUAGAUCUUGCAUUUUAUUUUGGCAACAGUUUCCAAACUAACUUCACAUCGUGUUCUGAUGCUUUACCUUUGUCACAAUAUCAGGUUAUACGAUUUAUUUCAAAGGCGACCUUACUAGCAUCAGGUGGGGCUGGGCAUAUCUAUCCGUCGACAACAAACCCUCCGUUAUCAAAGUGGCCACUGGAGAUGGAAUGGCUAUGGCCCACAGAGCUGAAGCGGUGAUUUCCAAUAUGGAGUCUGUUCAGUUCCACCCAACUGCCUUAGCUGAUGAAGGCCUUCCCAUCAAACCAACCAAAAGUCGAGAAAAUGCAUUUCUGAUCACUGAAGCCGUCAGGGGAGAUGGAGGCAUUCCUUACAACUUGGGCAUGGAACGGUUCAUGCCCCUGUAUGAUGAAAGAGCUGAGCUUGCUCCUAGAGAUGUGGUGGCAAGAGGCAUAGAUGACCAGCUUAAGCAGCGCAAUGAGAAGUUGUUGGGUGUUGCUAGAUGAGCUAAAUCUUGCUCCACAAUCUGUUU